rnacentral:rRNA from 1 species
UACAGAGGGGGCCAGCGUUAUUCGGAAUUAUUGGGCGUAAAGGGCGCGUAGGCGGCCUUCUAAGUCAGACGUGAAAUCCCCCGGCUUAACCUGGGAACUGCGUCUGAUACUGGAGGGCUUGAGUGCGGGAGAGGGAUGUGGAAUUCCUGGUGUAGCGGUGGAAUGCGCAGAUAUCAGGAGGAACACCGGUGGCGAAGGCGGGUCUCUGGGCAGUAACUGACGCUGAGGAGCGAAAGCGUGGGGAGCGAACAGG